rnacentral:rRNA from 1 species
AAACCGGCGCACGGGUGAUGUAACACGUGAGUGACCUGCCUUUUAGACUGGAACAACUUACCGAAAGGUGAGCUAAUGCCGGAUGAGUUAUAUAAGUGCAUGUUUAUAUAGGAAAAGUUGGGGAGACCUGACGCUGAAAGAUGGACUCGCGUCCCAUUAGCUAGUUGGUAGGGUAAUGGCCUACCAAGGCGACGAUGGGUAGCCGGCCUGAGAGGGUGGCCGGCCACACUGGGACUGAGACACGGCCCAGACUCCUACGGGAGGCAGCAGUGGGGAAUUUUGCGCAAUGCUCGUAAGAGUGACGCAGCGACGCCGCGUGAAUGACGAAGGCCUUCGGGUCGUAAAGUUCUUUCGACAGGGAAGAAAAUGCCUAUAAGUAACUGUGUAUGUAUUGACGGUACCUGUAUAAGCAGCCCCGGCUAACUCCGUGCCAGCAGCCGCGGUAAUACGGAGGGGGCGAGCGUUGUUCGGAGUGACUGGGCGUAAAGAGCACGUAGGCGGUGUUGUAAGUCAUUAGUCAAAGACUAGAGCUCAACUUUAGUAAGGCUAGUGAUACUAUAAUACUAGAGUAUCAGAGAGGAUUGCAGAAUUCCUGGUGUAGCGGUGAAAUGCGUAGAUAUCAGGAGGAAUACCGUUAGCGAAAGCGGCAAUCUGGCUGGAAACUGACGCUGAGGUGCGAAAGCGUGGGUAGCAAACAGGA